UUGCCUACAGCGCGCUUCAGUGAGCGUCAAACACACAAGACCGCGUGCGUGGGUAAUCAUAAAAUUAAUCGCUUCAGGCGUAAUGUGGCUGGCCGCCAUAAUCA
rnacentral:antisense_RNA from 1 species